rnacentral:lncRNA from 1 species
CUAUACCAUUUGUUAGCGCUGACUUCCCCUUAAAGCAUCAAAUUAAUCUUUAUUCUCACAAAAUUCUUUAUUUUUAGUCCUUUUUGCUGAUAUUUUUGUCCAUCUUACAUCUGCUGAUUAGUUUGCAUGAUUGGAUUUCUGGGGAUGCAGAUCAUUUCACAUCAGUGUAGGGUUUAGAUCUUUCUUUGACAACAACAGAAGAUGUUUGAAGUCAGGAACAUGGACUCUAUAUGUGUUCAGUCGUCAUGUCCCCAUAUUGUUUUAGGCUGUGAAAGACUGAGUGUGUUUCAGGUGAUGUCCCCAUAUUGUCUGACCCAACGACUGUAGAGUGUGUGUUACAUGUCCUCAUAUUGUUGGGUAGCAGAUGAUGUACAGUGUUAGCAGUUUCUAUGGAGUUUGGCAUAAUGCGCCUAGAUCCUCCUGUGAAUUACGUUCACCGAAACAAGUAUGAUCAUUUGUUCAUUAAUUUGUCAGGAUUUAUAGUACAGAAUAUGUCUGACACUGUAUUGUUGCGUUUUGUUGCAGACACCAAGUGUUCAGAUCCUGACUCAACCUUCUGCAGACCAAGAAGUGAGCAAGAGAUCCACUUCAUCCUUCCAACAGACACCAAGUGUUCAGAUCCUGACUCAACUUUCUGCAGACCAAGAAGUGAGCAUGAGAUCCACUUCAUCCUUCCAACAGGUAAUUACACAUUAAUGUAUUCUAUUUGGAAUUAAGUCUAUGUCUCUGUUGGCUCCAAUGUAUAUAUGAAAUGCCCUUUCACUGUAUUAAAACAAUCAGUUUGUGUGAAAUGUUCACGAUAUCGGUGUUAGCAUUACUUGUUUGUGAAUAGCUGAGCAGAGAGAAAUUGGCUAUACCAUUUGUUAGCUCUAACUUCCCCUUAAAGCAUCUAAUUAAUCUUUAUUCUCACAAAAUUCUUCAUUUUUAGUCCUUUUUGCUAAUGUUUUUGUCCAUGUUAGAUCUGCUGAUCAGUUUACAUGAUUGGAUUUCUGGGGAUGCAGAUCAUUUCACAUCAGUGUAGGGUUUAGAUCUUUCUUUGACAACAACAGAAGAUGUUUGAAGUCAGGAACAUGGACUCUAUAUGUGUUCAGUCGUCAUGUCCCCAUAUUGUUUUAGGCUGUGAAAGACUUGAGUGUGUUUCAGGUGAUGUCCCCAUAUUGUCUGACCCAACGACUGUAGAGUGUGUGUUACAUGUCCUCAUAUUGUUAUAGGCUGUGAAUGACUGAGUGUGUUUCAGGUGAUGUCCCCAUAUUGUCUGACCCAACGACUGUAGAGAGUGUGUACCAAGUCCUCAUAUUGUUAUAGGCUCUGAAAGACUCAGUGUGUUUCAGGUGAUGUCCCCAUAUUGUCUGACCCAACGACUGUAGAGUGUGUGUUACAUGUCCUCAUAUUGUUGGGUAGCAGAUGAUGUACAGUGUUAGCAGUUUCUAUAGAGUUUGGCAUAAUGCGCCUAGAUCCUCCUGUGAAUUACGUUCACCGAAACGAGUAUGAUCAUUCGUUCAUUAAUUUGUCAGGAUUUAUAGUACAGAAUAUGUCUGACACUGUAUUUUUGUGUUUUGUUGCAGACACCAAGUGUUCAGAUCCUGACUCAACCUUCUGUAGACCAAGAAGCGAGCGAGAGAUCCACUUCAUCCUUCCAACAGGUAAUUACACAUUAAUUUGUUCCAUUUGGAAUUAAGUAGAUGUCUCAUUUGGCUCCAUUGCAUACAUGAAAUGCCCCUUCACUGUAUUAAAACAAUCAGUUUGUGUGAAAUGUUCACAAUAUCAAUAUUAACAUCACCUGUUUUUGAAUAGCGUAGCAGAAAGAAAUUGGCUAUACCAUUUGUUAGCUCUAACUUCCCCUUAAAGCAUCAAAUUAAUCUUUAUUCUCACAAAAUUCUUUAUUUUUAGUCCUUUUUGCUGAUAUUUUUGUCCAUCUUACAUCUGCUGAUUAGUUUGCAUGAUUGGAUUUCUGGGGAUGCAGAUCAUUUCACAUCAGUGUAGGGUUUAGAUCUUUCUUUGACAACAACAGAAGAUGUUUGAAGUCAGGAACAUGGACUCUAUAUGUGUUCAGUCGUCAUGUCCCCAUAUUGUUUUAGGCUGUGAAAGACUUGAGUGUGUUUCAGUUGAUGUCCCCAUAUUGUCUGACCCAACGACUGUAGAGAGUGUGUACCAUGUCCCCAUAUUGUUAUAGGCUGUGAAAGACUGAGUGUGUUUCAGUUGAUGUCCCCAUAUUGUCUGACCCAACGACUGUAGAGAGUGUGUACCAUGUCCUCAUAUUGUUAUAGGCUGUGAAAGACUGAGUGUGUUUCAGGUGAUGUCCCCAUAUUGUCUGACCCAUCGACUGUAGAGAGUGUGUACCAUGUCCUCAUAUUGUUAUAGGCUGUGAAAGACUGAGUGUGUUUCAGGUGAUGUCCCCAUAUUGUCUGACCCAACGACUGUAGAGAGUGUGUACCAUGUCCUCAUAUUGUUAUAGGCUCUGAAAGACUGAGUGUGUUUCAGGUGAUGUCCCCAUAUUGUCCGACCCAACGACUGUAGAGUGUGUGUUACAUGUCCUCAUAUUGUUGGGUAGCAGAUGAUGAACAGUGUUAGCAGUUUCUAUAGAGUUUGGCAUAAUGCGCAUAGAUCAUACUGUGAAUUAUGUUCACUGAAGCAAGUAUGAUCAUUUGUCUAUUAAUUAGUCAGGAUUUAUAGUAGAGAAUAUGUCUGACUCUGUAUUGUUGUGUUUUGUUGCAGACAUCAAGCGUUCAGAUCCUUACUCAACUUUCUGCAGACCAAGAUAUGAGCAAGAGAUCCACUUCAUCUUUCCAACAGGUAAUUACACAUUAAUUUAUUCUAUUUGGAAUUAAGUAGAUAUCUCAGUUGGCCCCCGUGCAUACAUGAAAUGCCCUUUCACUGUAUCGAAACAAUCAGUUUUUUUUUUUAAAUGUUCACAAUAUCAUCGAUAUCACCAUUGGAUUUCUGGGGAAGUAGAUCAAUUUACAUCAGUGUAGGGUUUAGAGCUUUCUUUGACAACAACAGAAGAAGUUAGAACCACUAUUAUUUCUAUUUUUGCUAUAAUUAAUUGCAUCAUAAUUUUUAGUUACAGUUCUGUGUAAUCUCAAACAAAUAAUGAAUCUCUGUCAUUUCAAUUAAGGUCAGCCAGACCACUGGAGGUGUCUCCUUCCACCAGACAGCUACUGCAAGGCAAGUAAGACAGCUGCCUUCUUCUCCUUCAUUCAAAAAUGUUAUGUUCUUUUACUGAGGAUAUUCACUAUUUGAGGAAAUAUUGUAUAAACUUAACUAGGACUAAGGUUUUUUACAUUUAAUUCUUGAUAUGGACAGUCAAGAGCAAGCCGCCAUCUGCAAAAUCUAAAGCGGCAUCAUGCUCGGUGUGAGGAACGUUACGAUGAGGCCAAGAAAAAGAUAUUUGAGAGAGAGAGGCAGAUGAUUUUGAGUCUGUUAACCAGAAUGAAUAAUUCUGUGAGUACGCAAAUAGGUCAUACGGUCAUAUGCAAAUUAAUUCUUUUCAAGGUAUUCAUUUUACAAGAACCUCCAUGGGCCUAGCAGAUUUUUUCUCAUUCACUUGUUGUUUCCAGUUCAUGCACCAUGUUUGAAAGACAAAGUUGCAACAGAUUUUUUCUCUCAAAAUAUUAGUUAUACUUCUAUGCGAUAGGUGAGUCAUAGUAACGAAAAUUUUCAUGCUAUGCAUUGUUCUCCUUUAUAUCAUACACCAUCAACAUCAAAUCGCACACUGAGAUGUGUUGUGGUUUAGGGAUUAUUGUCUUAAUAGUAUGUCAUCAUAGGUAGGUAUGUGAGGCAAAAUAUUUUCAAAGUGUUAUUUAAAUCAUUUAAACAUUUCCACUUUAAUAUAAGUGGGGUGAAAAUGUCUAUUCAGUCAAUUGUAUUUACAGUAUUAAUAAUGGUUUUAAAGGUUGAACAUCCCUUGGUCGAUGAUGGUGGAUUUCAUGAUGGAAACUCUGCAAGCUUAAGUGACCAGGUAAUGUAUACGACACAGUAGUGAAUGUAUUAGGAAUCCAAUGCAAUUCAAUUUCAUGUUUUUAAUGACUCAUCUCUUACAAGUCAUCACUUACAAUAUGUGAUGGUACUGUAUGGGGAAUGAUAACCUGGCUUUUUUCUCCUUUUUCCUUCAGAUCUCUACUGAUGAAUCUUCAGAUUGUACAGAUUAUGAAGAUAUUGACUAUGUUCCAGACUCAGGUGGCAAUUCCUCAGACACAAGUCUCUGUAGUAACGAACUGAGAAUCACAGAAUCUCUUGCUCCCAAAAAUUGUUCAAGGACAUGCCAGUGGGGAUAGCUACAGUACACAGUGGGGAGAGAAACCUACAAGUUUAAGUUUGUCACUGAGAAGCAGCAGUCAUAGCACUUCAGUGAUGAGUUGCAGUAACAAUUCCCUGGAGGCAAGAUUUCUGUAUUUUCUGUUCUGUUUCAAUUGACAUAUUUUGCCAGCAAUUAAAAAAGAAAAAAUGGCAGAAAGUGUUCCAUGUCUUUAUUCACAUGAACAUGUACUACAAAAUUUAUAAAUGCAAUACAAUAAGACUUAAAAAGCAGACUGACCACAUUUUUUAGCUAUGUCUCAUUUUAAGUCUCUACAAAGCUUAGUUUUACUGUGUUGUAUUAACAUGUGAAUAUCUGACAUUUCUGUCAGAGGUUACCUGACUGAUGAGCAUGACUAUUGUACACCUGUGUCUAUUAUAUAGGUAUUUCAAACAUAUCCAACAGGAGCCAAGGUAAUAAUACAGACCCUACCCUUUCCUAGUCUUUAUAAGUCAUGUAUACAUGAAAAUUUUGUGUGUAUCCAUGGGUUUCACAAUUCACCUAAACAUGAAAUAUC